rnacentral:lncRNA from 1 species
GGAGUUCUGAGCUGCAAGAGCCCAGCUACUCGCCGAACCCGGGCCGCCUGCGUGAGUAACUUGGGGCGGCCAGGAGCACGGGAAGGGCGCCAGACAGAGAGCCUUUGGCUGCUUCUGAGACCGGCUGUGGGCUGCCACCGCUGAGCGGCGCGGAGGCUGCAGCGUUCCCUCUCAGGACAGAAAGCAGGCGUUGGGGACUGUUACUCGCAGCCUGCCAGGGGCAGCAGCCGCCCCAGGUUCAAGUGGCUAUGUGCCAGGAUACUCAGGCGCGGCUGUUGGCUGCCCAUGGGAGAGCCAGUGCUCUCCGCAGGUCCAAAGUGCAAGGCCGGGCUAUUCCCGGACUUGCCUAGGAGCAGGGGCCCCCAGCGCGUCUGGGAUUGCCCCGGCGCGUCGGGCGCGCGAACUUGUGCGCAAGGGAGAAGAGCGCUUACCAUGGAACAUGGUCUGCGGGAGGCGGGCGUAGUCAUGAUGACCGCAACUGGAGCAGGAGCAAGCUCUCACCGCCCAUAGUCACUCCCAGGACCCUGGUCUUCCGCGGAGUUGCCGAGUCUGUGUUGGGCAGGGUGAUCUCUGCAGCUGGUUCCUCUUACCCACGCCGCGACUGCAGUUUCAUCCAUCCCAAGGGGGGCGGCACACACUACGGCGUGGCUCUGCGCUUUGCCUUUUCCAUAACUUCCGUAGGAUCCGCCAGCAGUGUACUUUCAGUUUCUACUUUGCGCUUGGUCUGCAGGUUCAAUCUUUGGGAUCAUCAGCAUGGAAUCUUCAUUAUCCCCUCUCUCCUGGGCACCUGCUUCCCGCGCACCUGGAUGAGGACCAGAGGAAUUCGCGAAUUUCCGAAUCACCGCAGGAAAAACCAGCUGGCCUGAAUCAAAGCAAUUCUGGGUAAAAGACUUCCCAGAUGAUCUCUCAACGCCUUGGCAACGCUUGGCGACUGGGAGCUAGAACCAUGAGUUGUUAAUGUGUGCACGGAAGCCACAAGUGUGCAGGACGCAAGCUGGGUUAUUGGAAGCGGACGACACCAAGGAGGCGUUGCCGCGGAUGUGGUGGACGAUGCCAAGUCGUCUUUUAAAAAAGGAAGUGAAGAAUGAUUAAGAGGGUCACGCCCUCUACCACUCCAACCUCUCUAAUCAGUCUCUUUCUGCUCCGUCUGCUGUACAUGCACCUGCUCAGGUGAGACCUCAAGGAAAAAUAAUCCUGUGGGUCCACCUAAUCUGGAACAAAGUAAAAGAGCAUCCAUCAAUACUUUGCACAAAAGGAAAUCCGUCUUCCUUUUAUCACAAUCACCAUAAAUCCAGGUAGAAUAAGGGUUGUACAUAUCUGAACUUUUGGGAAGCAUGAAAGGAAGUUAUUCAGAGCUGCAGGAAAGGCAAUGUAAAUGUUACACUGGAUUCUGCCCCCAACUAUAAAGAAUCUUUCUGAAGAGAAUAUUCAUAAAGCUUUGGGAAUUGUUAGGGUUAUAUGAAAUGGGCACAUUCUAACAACAUCAAGUAAUGAUUUUUUUUUUCUGUCUGUGAGAUAAUUAAUACCAUUUAGAAAAAAAUCCAAAAUGAAGUCUUAAAUUAGCUUUUGAUAUUUUGAUAAACUGAAUAUUAUUUUUUAUAAGAUAGAUGGACAAGAAUAAAAUGUUUAUAAAUUUUUAAAAUGCUAAUGUUUUAUGAUUAAAGAAAUGGAAUGGUUACUAUUAUGUUUGCUCAUAGACUCAAUGAACUGGACAGAAAAGCCUUUAAGGGAGAAAAUAGUAAAUACAUUUUAUGAAUUAUGGUAAAUAAAUUUUAAAAGAGAAGACAACAUUCUCAGAAUGAUC